UACGUAGGGUGCAAGCGUUAAUCGGAAUUACUGGGCGUAAAGCGUGCGCAGGCGGUUAUGUAAGACAGAUGUGAAAUGCCCGGGCUUAACCUGGGAACUGCAUUUGUGACUGCAUGGCUAGAGUUUGGCAGAGGGGGGUAGAAUUCCACGUGUAGCAGUGAAAUGCGUAGAUAUGUGGAGGAACACCGAUGGCGAAGGCAGCCCCCUGGGUCAAGACUGACGCUCAUGCACGAAAGCGUGGGGAGCAAACGAGGAUUAGACGGUAC
rnacentral:rRNA from 1 species